GCAUAUCAAUAAGCGGAGGAAAAGAAACCAACAGGGAUUGCCCUAGUAACGGCGAGUGAAGCGGCAACAGCUCAAAUUUGAAAUCUGGCUUCGGCCCGAGUUGUAAUUUGCAGAGGAAGCUUUGGGCGCGGCACCGACCGAGUCCCCUGGAACGGGGCGCCAUAGAGGGUGAGAGCCCCGUAUGGUCGGACGCCUAGCCUGUGUAAAGCUCCUUCGACGAGUCGAGUAGUUUGGGAAUGCUGCUCAAAAUGGGAGGUAAAUUUCUUCUAAAGCUAAAUACCGGCCAGAGACCGAUAGCGCACAAGUAGAGUGAUCGAAAGAUGAAAAGCACUUUGAAAAGAGGGUUAAAUAGCACGUGAAAUUGUUGAAAGGGAAGCGCUUGUGACCAGACUUGCGCCCGGCUGAUCAUCCGGUGUUCUCACCGGUGCACUCUGCCGGGCUCAGGCCAGCAUCGGUUCUCGCGGGGGGAUAAAGGCCCAGGGAACGUGGCUCCUCCGGGAGUGUUAUAGCCCUGGGUGCAAUGCCCUCGCGGGGACCGAGGUUCGCGCAUCUGCAAGGAUGCUGGCGUAAUGGUCAUCAGCGACCCGUCUUGAAACACGGACC
rnacentral:rRNA from 1 species